rnacentral:rRNA from 1 species
AUUGAACGCUGGCGGCAGGCCUAACACAUGCAAGUCGAACGAGUGGCGGACGGGUGAGUAAUGUCUGGGAAACUGCCUGAUGGAGGGGGAUAACUAAUGGAAACGGUAGCUAAUACCGCAUACCAUAAGAUGUGCCCAGAUGGGAUUGGCUAGUUGGUGGGGUAACGGCUCACCAAGGCGACGAUCCCUAGCUGGUCUGAGAGGAUGACCAUCCAACCUGGAACUGUGACACGGUCCAGACUCCUACGGGAGGCAGCAGUGGGGAAUAUUGCACAAUGGGCGCAAGCCGGAUGCAGCCAUGCCGCGUGUAUGAAGAAGGCUUUCGGGUUGUAAAGUACUUUCAGCGGGGAGGCGUUACCCGCAGAAGAAGCACCGGCUAACUCCGUGCCAGCAGCCGCGGUAAUUC